UGUUCCUGGAGAGAUACCCUCCUGUAGGUUUUAACUCCAACCCUGUUCCUGGAGAGAUACCCUCCUGUAGGUUUUAACUCCAACCCUGUUCCUGGAGAGAUACCCUCCUGUAGGUUUUAACUCCAACCCUGUUCCUGGAGAGAUACCGUCCUGUAGGUUUUAACUCCAACCCUGUUCCUGGAGAGAUACCCUCCUGUAGGUUUUAACUCCAACCCUGUUCCUGGAGAGAUACCCUCCUGUAGGUUUUUAACUCCAACCCUGUUCCUGGAGAGAUACCCUCCUGUAGGUUUUAUCUCCAACCCUGUUCCUGGAGAGAUACCGUCCUGUAGGUUUUAACUCCAACCCUGUUCCUGGAGAGCUACCCUCCUGUAGGUUUUAACUCCAACCCUGUUCCUGGAGAGAUACCCUCCUGUAGGUUUUAACUCCAACCCUGUUCCUGGAGAGCUACCCUCCUGUAGGUUUUAACUCCAACCCUGUUCCUGGAGAGAUACCUUCCUGUAGGUUUUAACUCCAACCCUGUUCCUG